CUGGUACGGAACUUGUAACUUUUUUUAUGCCAAAAAUAUGUAAAAACGGCACUUGAAUUUGGAAGAUGUUCUCCCCAUUAUCAACGACCGGGAAGUCACCAUUAAAGAUCUUGCAUGAAGGUAAGAAGAUUUCUUUUCAAUCCAAUCGCAUCAUCUCUGUUGA